UCUGACGUGGAGAAAUGAAACUCCAGAGAUGU
rnacentral:piRNA from 1 species